UGCAAGUCGAGUGCGCGUCUGUAGCAAUACAGAUGGCGCACGGCGCACGGGUGCGUAACACGUGGGUAAUCUGCCCUUCGAUGGGGAAUAACUCCGGGAAACCGAAGCUAAUUCCGCAUAACAUUCCUUGAACUUCGGUUUGAGGACUCAAAGCCGUAAGGCGUCGGAGGAGGAACCCGCGCACGAUUAGGUAGUUGGCAGGGUAACGGCCUACCAAGCCUUUGAUCGUUAGCUGGUCUGAGAGGAUGGCCAGCCACACUGGAACUGAGACACGGUCCAGACUCCUACGGGAGGCAGCAGUGGGGAAUCUUGCACAAUGGGCGAAAGCCUGAUGCAGCGACGCCGCGUGGGGGAUGAAGCUUUUCGGAGUGUAAACCCCUUUCGACCCGGACGAAUGCCCCGCAAGGGGACUGACGGUACGGGUAUAAGAAGCCCCGGCUAACUACGUGCCAGCAGCCGCGGUAAGACGUGGGGGGCCAGCGUUGUUCGGAAUUACUGGGUGUAAAGGGUCAGUAGGCGGUGUGGCAAGUCGGGAGUGAAAUCUCUGGGCUCAACUCAGAGACUGCUUCCGAAACUGCUGUGCUAGAGUGUGGGAGAGGCGCGUGGAAUUGCAGGUGUAGCGGUGAAAUGCGUAGAUAUCUGCAGGAACACCCGUGGCGAAAGCGGCGCGCUGGACCACAACUGACGCUGAAUGACGAAAGCUAGGGGAGCAAACAGGAUUAGAUACCCUGGUAGUCCUAGCCCUAAACGAUCAGGACUCGGGGUGCCGCACGUUCGUGCGUCGUCCCGGAGCUAACGCGUUAAGUCCUGCACCUGGGGAGUACGGUCGCAAGACUGAAACUCAAAGGAAUUGACGGGGGCCCGCACAAGCGGUGGAACAUGUGGUUCAAUUC
rnacentral:rRNA from 1 species